UACAGAGGGGGCAAGCGUUGUUCGGAAUUACUGGGCGUAAAGAGCUCGUAGGCGGUUUGUUGCGUCGGCUGUGAAAUCCCGAGGCUCAACCUCGGGUCUGCAGUCGAUACGAGCAAACUAGAGUGUUGCAGGGGAGACUGGAAUUCCUGGUGUAGUGGUGAAAUGCGCAGAUAUCAGGAGGAACACCGGUGGCGAAGGCGGGUCUCUGGGCAACAACUGACGCUGAGGAGCGAAAGCGUGGGGAGCGAACAGG
rnacentral:rRNA from 1 species